CGUUAAUUCAAAUUGGCCCAUACCCCAAACCGACACAGGUGGGAAGGUAGAGUAUACCCAGGGGCGCGAGAUAACUCUCUCUAAGGAACUCGGCAAAAUGGCCCCGUAACUUCGGGAGAAGGGGUGCCACCGAGAGGUGGUCGCAGUGAAGAGUCCCAGGCGACUGUUUACCAAAAACACAGGUCUCCGCUAAGUCGCAAGACGAUGUAUGGGGGCUGACGCCUGCCCAGUGCCGGAAGGUUAAGGAAGUUGGUCAGGCUCUUCGGAGUUGAAGCUAGCGACUGAAGCCCCGGUGAACGGCGGCCGUAACUAUAACGGUCCUAAGGUAGCGAAAUUCCUUGUCGGGUAAGUUCCGACCCGCACGAAAGGCGUAACGAUCUGGGAGCUGUCUCGGAGAGAGGCUCGGCGAAAUAGGAAUGUCUGUGAAGAUACGGACUACCUGCACCCGGACAGAAAGACCCUAUGAAGCUUUACUGUAGCUUGGUAUUGGGUUCGGGCUUUAAUUGCGCAGGAUAGGUGGGAGACUUUGAAGUAGCCCUUGUGGAGGUUAUGGAGUCACUGGUGAGAUACCACUCUAUUAAGGCUAGGAUUCUAACUUUGACCCGUUAUCCGGGCAGAGAACAGUAUCAGGUGGGCAGUUUGACUGGGGCGGUCGCCUCCUAAAUGGUAACGGAGGCGCGCAAAGGUUCUCUCAGGCUGGUUGGAAAUCAGCCAUUGAGUGUAAAGGCAUAAGAGAGCUUGACUGCGAGACUGACAAGUCGAGCAGGUACGAAAGUAGGCCUUAGUGAUCCGACGGUUCCGCGUGGAAGGGCCGUCGCUCAACGGAUAAAAGUUACUCUAGGAUAACAGGCUGAUCUCCCCCAAGAGUUCACAUCGACGGGGAGGUUUGGCACCUCGAUGUCGGCUCAUCGCAACCUGGGGCUGUAGUCGGUCCCAAGGGUUGGGCUGUUCGCCCAUUAAAGCGGUACGUGUGCUGGGUUCAGAACGUCGUGAGACAGUUCGGUCCAUAUCCGGUGCAGGCGUAGGAACAUUGAGAGGAGUCUUCCUUAGUACGAGAGGACCGGGAAGAACGCACCGCUGGUGUACCUGUUAUCGUGCCAACGGUAAACGCAGGGUAGCUAAGUGCGGAGUGGAUAACCGCUGAAAGCAUCUAGGUGGGAAGCCCACCACAAGAUGAGUGUUCCCAUGGCAUAAGCCAGUAAGGUCACGGGUAGACCACCCGUUAAUAGGCGCUAGAUGGAAGUCCAGCAAUGGAUGUAGUCGAGGCGUACUAACAGACCGAGGGCU
rnacentral:rRNA from 1 species